AUCAAAUGAGAAAGAUUCUAUACAGAGUUACAGUAAUAGUUUUUGGAAUUUGGGUCAAUUUUACCAAACUGUUUAUUCUUAAAACCAGCUGUCAUUGGGCUGGAGGUGUGUGACAAACAUGCAAAAAAGUGACAUUUUUGAUAGUGAUGCUAUUUUGUCCCUGAAGUAGCUCAGUUGGUUAGAGCAUGGUGCUAAUAGUGCCAAGGUUGUGAGUUUGAUCAUUACAGGGGCCAUUCGCUUAAGAGUUGGACUUAAUGAUCCUUGUGGGUCCCUUCCAACUCAGAAUAUUUUGUGAUUCUGUGAUUUUGCUUUUCUAGUACAAAACAAUUUUCCAUCUGAAAUUACUUUCAAAAUGUAUUUUAAAAUUAUUCAGAAACCUCAAAUGGAAAACAUCACUUCGUUUCAGAGCAAUCAAGACAAUUCUUUACCACAACUGACUCUUUUUCUUAAUUCUGUGAUUCUCUGUUUAAAUAUUCAUCGACUCAAAUCAAAAUUACUUCUUUCUUUUCCUAUGCCUGUCAGAAAACUAUGACACCAUUCUUCACAUUCAGCUGUGAUCCUUGACCCAAUUUAAAAGAAUAUUUAAACAUACUCUUAAUUCUGAGACUAAGUUAAAUACCUGUUCAGGUUCUCCAGUGAAUAACUACAAAUGCCAGGUAUGCUGAACUGCUAAACACCCCCAAACCUUUAUUUUCUUCGUCUUUUCUACAUAGGAUUUUUCUUUAUUGCUUAAUGGAAAAAAGAAUGACAAUGUGUUAGAAAUUGAGAAGAAGUUUUAUACAUUCAGAGAUGCUGUUGCUGAACUUUUGUUCAGCAGAGAGAGAAAAUAAUAAAGCAAUAUCUACCAAGCUUCAGUGUUUGGAAAUAACAUAAGUUCUCUUGGACACCUGAAAGGUUCUUCCUCUCCUGUCUUCCUAAGCAGGUAUUACUUUUUGAUCAAAAGACACAGAAACAAGGACUGAAUAAAAAACAAUAAAACAAACAUUAAUAAAAGGAAUAUCAUCCUUACCUGACCAAUUAAAUUAUCAUUAUUCCCCCUCCAGCCUUACUGUAUACAAAUAGAACAAGCAAUCAAAUUCACAUUGAAGUCCAGUUCUUCAUUUUUCUCUAGUUCAAACAUAUUUCAGAACAGACUAGGAUCCCUCUGUAUAUACAUAUAUUAAAAAAAGAACAGAUUCCAAUUAAAAAAAAACACAUUUCAAGCUGCUUAUAUUUCAUACAUACACAUGUAUACACGCGUCAGGGGAACAAGCACACAGAACCAACCACAAGCAGUUAAGUUAACUCCUAGCACCCUUCCUUUGUUCAGCUCCCACAAAUUUCUGCUGCUGGUGGGUGUAAGGCUUUUGAACUUCUUGAAAGCAACAAAGAGAAAACUGUAGAUCAAUGUGUUUAACCAUGUGCUUUCCUGGGCUGCCUGCAGAACAGCUCUUGACUCAAGAAGGGGCAACAUGCACAUAUGCUGAGCAGCUCACAGCAUUCCCUGGGGCUUCUUUGUUUAUUCUGUAUUUGUUUAUCAGUUUCAGCGGGACACAAUGGGAUCCAGAGUAACUGUGUGCCUCAGACAUCACUAAGCUGACUUUCCUCGGCAGAAGGAGGAAGAGAAGUACUUUGAGCUUUGCUCUCUGGAUUGAAAGUUGAAAUGAGUUGGCACGACCAGAAGGGUGCAGGAUAAUGCGCCCACCACUCUGCAUGAGGGGAAAUCCCCCUCUGUAGGAGGUGUCGCUUGUAUUCCUCAAACCUAUCCUAGCUUUUAAACACCAUUAAAUAUACCCUUCCAGUUAACUUGGAAGGGCAUACCUUCUACAGCUAGUGAAAAGCUGUUCUACUGCCUUGUAACAAUAUUGACAGAUGCAGUCAUAAUGAAAUAUUUCCAAGCUGUUGCAUGGCCAGAAAAAGAAACUACUGUUGGUGUGACCGCAGUAUAGAAGUUUUCAAAUAUGUUGGAUAGUUAGAAGGAAAAAAAAAAUAGUUUGGAGAACAAACUAAAUUUGAGGGAUGGAGUAGGAAAAGCUAAGCAGGCCACGGUCAAGAAUGUGCAAAUAGAAAAGGAUCUGUAGAAGAGAAGACAAUACAGAAACAGACAACUACCCAGCAAGGUGGAAAAGAGCUUUUACUCAUAUUUGCUACUGUUUGUAUACUCACUCCCAGUUGUAGCAAUAAAAUAAACACCUGCCUCAUUUAGUCAACUUCAUGAUGCACCCAGGAAAUUCUGCUCCCAGUUGGUCAGAAAAGAACACAUGAAAUCUCUGUCACACAUUUAUUUGCUUAACCAGGGAUCAAGCUGCUGAACUGAUGAGCAAACAGAAGCAGCAAAAUGUUCAGAAACCCUACCCACCCUGUUCCUGUAACAAACUAGCUAGGGACAAUUCACUCUGACCUGGUGCAGACCAUAGCCUCUUCUGGGAAAUCAUCACCUGGGCAGCAUCAUUUAGGCUGGGGUCACCCUGCUUCAUGGCAGGUGCGAGCCUCUGAAAGGUUAGGGAUUGCUGAGAGGUCAACUAAGGAAGAAAGAAAAAGCAAUGUGUGCAACAAGCAUUUGCCCAUUACAUCCCAAGGCUGCACUUUCGGUUUUCUCAAGUUGGAAAGAGAAGGGAGGUUUGGCCCUGCACUGCUCCCCAGGGAAAGGCUGCUCUGCCAGCCUACCUCUGACUCACUGUUUUGACAUCUGGUAUUAAAGCUUAGGUAGUUUGAAGAUCAGUAGAAUAGAGGCAUUUAAAAAAACCAUUCUUUCACCAGUACAUUUGAUUUUUAAAUAACUGUGUUAAUUCCAGAAGGUUCAACUUCAUUUACCUCAUCAGGCACCUGACUAUACCGAGUGUUAUUCGAAGUUAUUGUAACUCUCUUUUUUAAAGUGGAUUUAAGCCAUUAUGGUCUAUCACAUAAAUCCUUCUUAGUUUGUGGAUUAUUGACCUGAUAGGCCCAAACAGCUCCAUCUGUCCGUUUAAAUGGGCACCAAUGCUUUGAGUGUUUAUUGCUUUCAAUCCUAUUAUUUGUAAAGUGCUUUCUUCCUCUGUCUGUGCGUGUGUAUGUUUGGUAUUCAGGGACAAUUUAUUGCUGAAUUUUUGUCUAAACUCUUUCAAAUAUAAGGCUUUCCUGUGCUAACUGCCCACAUACAGUAGCACAAGGAAGUAUACUGCUUCUUGAUUUGGGAAAUGAAGCUGUUGACUUAGAGCCAGCCUUUAAGAGUGAUUUAAAAGUUGAUACACUGGAAGAACAUUUAAAAGAAAAAGGGACUCCCCUUUGAAAUGCUGAUGUGAAUCCAGCCUGAGGUAAUGAAGCUUUUAUAGUUAUAGAGAACAUUACUUUUGGGUAUCUACUCCAAGUACUUCUUUUAAAAGAGCUAAAAUGAUGCUCAAAGGGACAUUUGUUGAAGAGAAAACAGGAGUAAAAUAGUUUAUCACCUGUUGAUAUGUGUAAGAGGUCAGAGUAAAAGUAUACAGAGAAAACCAGACAUUUUUCAUUGAUUCAUGUUUGUGGGUCAAAUUAUUUACCAAGACCAAGUCAACUGUCUUGAUGUGUUGAGUCAAAUAAUUUGUGAUGGAAAUAUUAAAGUGCUAUGAAAAGGUUCCCUGUGCAAGGAAGCCUGUUCUUUCCUGCAUCACAGGUAUUCUACACACUAUUAAUUCUACUAAUACACACUAUUCUACACACAGGUAUUACUACACACUAGUAAUAACUAGAGUUAUUACUAUUAGACAAUGUACUGAAAAGUCAGGAAAUCAAACACAAAGACAAAAAUCUUCAAAAUGUGGCUGCCACCUCAGCCUGAUGGAUUUCAUUGCUUCACUUUUGUCUUCUUCCUAUGGGUAAGACACUCCACCUGGCACCGGCAGGCCGGACCACGCAGAACAUGUGAAUGUGUCUUCCCAGUAUGCAGAAUGCUUUGCCUCUGACAUGGCUGGCUUCUCUUUGCAACAAAAAUCAGUGGAAAAGAGACAUUUUAUCAAGUCAGUCCUGAAUAAUAUUUAGAAAUCUUAGAGAAACUAAAAAAAUACCUUGCAGGUGGUCUGUGAUAGCUUUUGUAUACAUAAAUAGAGAUGUCUUAGGUCUGACACUUGGAAGAGAGUGGUUUAUAUCGUGCUCAUACUCUUUUGUAACAUAUGUAUGCACUGGACACAUGGUUGUUUUUUCAGGGAUGGCAAAACUAAGGAAAGUGGGAAGAUAUUUUUGGCAAGCUAUGUUUUUGGAGAAGAAAUGCCUGGUUCCAAGACCUUUUCAAAUCCAGAGCUAAGGCUAAACUAUGCUGAGAUGAAAUGAUGCAGAGGACACAGAUUAUCUGAUAAAUAUCUACACUGAUCCCAAAUGGCCCCAGAGGACGAAGGUGUUCUAGCUCAUGAAGACUUUAUCAUGUUGCCUUCUUCUCCCUCAAGAGAUGUGUCUGCCUAGGAGCUCUGUGCAAACAAAAAACACUGUUUACUGAAAGGAUCAUUUUCCUUUUAGCUAUGCAGUAGCUGAAAAUGCCGAGAGCAAUUUUGUUCACCUCUUAGGCUCCAGAAAAACCUGUGUGGCAGAAUUGUCACAAAGACUAAUGUUCGUGUAGCACCUAUAGGAGAGCUUUUCAGAAGAGUCCUAUGUACAUUCCCUAAUAAAAAUAAGUGAAUAAUCAUUGGCAAUAUACAUGCAAAUUGGCUUCCCAAAGGAUGGAGCCACAAGACAGAGUAUAUCAGUCAAGGGCACCAAAGCAAUUGUGAGCAGUCACCAGAGAAUAAGUCCUUUCAGAAUGCAUGAAAUCAAUCUGGUGCCCUCUGAAAUAUACGGUCCAGUUGCUUAUGUCCAUACAAAUAUUCACCCUCUCAAUGUGGAGGCACUAAGGAAUGCAGAUUAAAAGGACUGUUUCAGGACUGAGACAAUCACUCCGCAGUGAGAAGCCAAGUAAUGAUUGAUCAUUAUUUUAUCUGUGCUGAACAACAUUGUAAGCAAAUUGCAUAUAAUUAUGACAAAAUACCAUCAACAACAUGACAGUCUCCUGUCGUGUGCUGGGGCAUUUGGCACACAGCGCUGCCGAGUCAAAUGUUUGUUGCCUUUCUGAUGCUUGGUGUUUGUGUUUUGCCUGUUGCUUUGACUCACACUCUUGCUUCAAUAAAGACUUAUUAUACUGUCA